GGGCUUGACAUCCCACGAACCUGCCUGAAAGGGCGGGGUGCCCGCAAGGGAGCGCGGAGACAGGUGGUGCAUGGCUGUCGUCAGCUCGUGUCGUGAGAUGUUGGGUUAAGUCCCGCAACGAGCGCAACCCUCACCCCUAGUUGCCACCGGGUCAUGCCGAGCACUCAAGGGGAACUGCCAGCGUCAAGCUGGAGGAAGGCGGGGAUGACGUCAAGUCAUCAUGCCCCUUACGCCCUGGGCUACACACGUGCUACAAUGGCCGGUACAAAGGGAUGCGAGACCGCGAGGUGGAGCUAAUCCCAAAAAGCUGGUCUAAGUUCAGAUUGCAGUCUGCAACUCGACUGCAUGAAGGAGGAAUCGCUAGUAAUCGCGCAUCAGCCCGGCGCGGUGAAUACGUUCCCGGGCCUUGUACACACCGCCCGUCACACCACGAAAGCUGUCUGUACUCGAAGUCGCUGAG
rnacentral:rRNA from 2 species